rnacentral:rRNA from 1 species
CAGCAGUCCAAGAAUAUUAGUCAAUGCUCGCAAGAGUGAACUAGCUAACUGAAAUCAUAUGACUCACUCUGUUGAUAAAUAUGAUAACGUAAGGGAAAAAAAUGAUAUUACCUUACUAUUAGUGUUGUCCAAAACUGGUGCCAGAAGACUCGGUAAGGCCAGAGACGCAAACGUUAGUCGUCCUAAUCAGGCGUAAAGGGUAUGUAGGCUGCUUUAAAUUUUUAUCUAAUUAAUAGCUCUGUAUUAUAAUAUAAAUAUUUAUUUUAUAUAUUUCAGUAAAGAUAAGAUGAAUUAAAGCUAGGAUCAAAUUGAGGAUAAACCAAAUAAUACUUAGUGUAGGGUUGAUAUCUAUAGAUACUAAGGGGAAUACUAAAGGUGAAAGCUUUUUAUCUAGUAAUGAUUGACGCUGAGAAACGAAGGUGAGAAUAGGAAAUAGGAUUAGAUACCCAGAUACCUCUCACUGUCAACGAUGAAUGGUGGUUGUUAGUUUUAAUAAAAACUGGUAACGAUGUUAACACGAUAACCAUUCCGCCUUGCGAGUACGGUUGCAAAACUGAAACCAAAAAAAUUAGUCGGUCUCGAAGCAAACGAAGUGAAGCAUGUUAUUUAAUUCGA